AUUGAACGCUGGCGGCAGGCCUAACACAUGCAAGUCGAACGAGUGGCGGACGGGUGAGUAAUGUCUGGGAAACUGCCUGAUGGAGGGGGAUAACUACUGGAAACGGUAGCUAAUACCGCAUACCAUCGGAUGUGCCCAGAUGGGAUUAGCUAGUAGGUGGUGUAAAGGCUCACCUAGGCGACGAUCCCUCGCUGGUCUGAGAGGAUGACCAGCCACACUGGAACUGAGAAAGCGUCCAGACUCCUAAGUGAGGCAGCAGUGGGGAAUAGUGGACAAUUGGCGCAAGCCUGAUGCAGCCAUGCCGCGUGUAUGAAGAAGGCCUUAGGGUUGUAAAGUACUUUCAGCGGGGAGGCGUUACCCGCAGAAGAAGCACCGGCUAACUCCGUGCCAGCAGCCGCGGUAAUAC
rnacentral:rRNA from 1 species